rnacentral:rRNA from 1 species
GUCGAGCGAUGAAGCUUCCUUCGGGAAGUGGAUUAGCGGCGGACGGGUGAGUAACACGUGGGUAACCUGCCUCAAAGUGGGGGAUAGCCUUCCGAAAGGAAGAUUAAUACCGCAUAAUAUGAGAGAAUCGCAUGAUUUUCUUAUCAAAGAUUUAUUGCUUUGAGAUGGACCCGCGGCGCAUUAGCUAGUUGGUAAGGUAACGGCUUACCAAGGCAACGAUGCGUAGCCGACCUGAGAGGGUGAUCGGCCACAUUGGAACUGAGACACGGUCCAGACUCCUACGGGAGGCAGCAGUGGGGAAUAUUGCGCAAUGGGGGAAACCCUGACGCAGCAACGCCGCGUGGGUGAUGAAGGUCUUCGGAUUGUAAAGCCCUGUUUUCUGGGACGAUAAUGACGGUACCAGAGGAGGAAGCCACGGCUAACUACGUGCCAGCAGCCGCGGUAAUACGUAGGUGGCGAGCGUUGUCCGGAUUUACUGGGCGUAAAGGGUGCGUAGGCGGAUGUUUAAGUGGGAUGUGAAAUCCCCGGGCUUAACCUGGGGGCUGCAUUCCAAACUGGAUAUCUAGAGUGCAGGAGAGGAAAGCGGAAUUCCUAGUGUAGCGGUGAAAUGCGUAGAGAUUAGGAAGAACACCAGUGGCGAAGGCGGCUUUCUGGACUGUAACUGACGCUGAGGCACGAAAGCGUGGGUAGCAAACAGGAUUAGAUACCCUGGUAGUCCACGCCGUAAACGAUGGAUACUAGGUGUAGGGGGUAUCAACUCCCCCUGUGCCGCAGUUAACACAAUAAGUAUCCCGCCUGGGGAGUACGGUCGCAAGAUUAAAACUCAAAGGAAUUGACGGGGGGCCCGCACAAGCAGCGGAGCAUGUGGUUUAAUUCGAAGCAGCGCGAAGAGCCUUACCUGGACUUGACAUCCCUUGCAUAGCCUAGAGAUAGGUGAAGCCCUUCGGGCAAGGAGACAGGUGGUGCAUGGCUGUCGUCAGCUCGUGUCGUGAGAUGUUAGGUUAAGUCUGCACGAGCGCAACCCUUGAUAUUASCUGCUACC